GGUAGAACACGAGUCUUCAAUCUCUUUCAAAUCAAACAGGCCAUCUCCCCAACCUGGCAAAAUGGAAGAACCUAUUGGACUGUUGACAAGGAGCCCAAGACUCCAGCACAAGGAGUCCAUGUGGUCUAAAUACAGGAAAUUUAAAUUAACAAAUACUCACACACUUUUAUUACCCAGCCUUGCUGAGUAUAUCCUUUAGCAGACUUGUCAGAACAACAACAAAAAAAAAAUGAGCCAGAUUCUUUUUCUGCUCUGAGAUAGUCAGCAUGUUGGAAAGAGCAUUGACUGACUUUGAAAUGAAAAGACCUGGGCUUUAGAACCCUGGCUUACUUACUUGCUCUCUGGAUGAUCACUUAACCUCACCUGUGAAACAGGAGUCUCCAGGCCAUUAAUGACGAUUAAAUAAAUUAUAUACAAAAGUGCCUGGCAUAGAAUCUGGCAAGGGGUAGGUGUCCUGAACAUUAAAUAUUCUUAUUUCCUCUUUCCCUCCUGAGGUAGGUCAUGGCUGGUAUCAAGGGUCACCAAUGCUGUGACUUCCAAGGUGACCCCAAGGUGAGCCAUGGUGAGCCCCUGAUGUAUGGUCUAAAACUCAAACCACACCUGCUGUAUGAGGUGGGGCUGAACAUGGUGCUGGGGUGAAGGGGGUCAGGUGAUAAGGGUGAGCCCCAGCUGCACCCUCUAGAUCCAUUGGGGUGUUCUCACCCUCAUCCCCCCUCCAGCUGUCAGACAGAAACUGCCCCGGGCACAAUCCUCCGAAUAUGGGUGUAGGACUUCCUGAUGGUGACACUGCCGUGGUGUGACACUCCUCGGGGCAGGACACACUCUUCUGUCAGUUUCUGGGCUUCUGGGUCCCAGCACAACACUGUGGCAAUGACCUCGUUCUUCUCAUCCCGGCCCCCGGUAAUGUAGAGCCGGUUGUUGCAAGGUGCGAUCCCACAGCUGGCCCUCUCGUGGCUGAGCUGGGUCACCAGGCACCAGCUGUCUUCCAAAGGGCAGUAGGCAUACAGGGCUCGCAUUGCCCCACCUGAAGAGGAAGGAGAACAUACAUGCAUGGGCAUCCCAUGGGCACAUGGCUAGGUCAAGUCCACUAUCCCGCCAAAACAGACAAUAAUUUGAUGGCUCUCCAAAAUGCUGGAAUGGAUCAGGAGGGCAGAAAGUUUCUAAUGCUGGAGACACUUCACAGUGCCCUUUCAUUCUGCAACCAAAGUGAAUCAGCUUCUAGAGGACACCUGGCUCAGGUGCAAAUCAGGUUCUAAAGGACAUGUGGCUUACCAUGGCUACUAAAAGGCACUCUAAACCUAUUCCCUGGGAGAAGUACCACCUGACAACAUCAGAUAGACUCAGCUUAUUAUCCCAGCUCUGCCUCUUUUUGAUCUAUAACCAUGAGCACCACCACCCUGGUGUUUAGAGGAAUUCGGAAGGACCACACACAUAAAACUACUAGAAGAGGGCCUGGCACACAAAAUCCAUCAACAGAUGGCAGUGGCUACAGAACUCCCGGAGCAAGCAGAGGGAGCAAAAUCUCCAUGAAUUGCCAACUUCUGACGCAUCUCCUGGGCCACAGGUGUGUCAACCUGUUUUGUACGUCUCCAAAUUGUAGCUGAGUCUGCUCCCAGGACUGCAAGGGAAGUUCACCAAGGCCUGGACCAACCCCACCUAGAUCAUCCAAGAAUUUUGUCUGAUCAGCCCACUGGAUGCCUGAGACUGAGGGUAGGAUACCUCGAGUGAAAAAAAGAAGCCAAUCAUUCACUUACCGACAACAUAGAUGCGGUCGCGGAAACUCACUGCAUUGAUGCAUUUAGCCUCCACCGGCAUGGGCGACUUUAAAUUCCACUUAUUGGUUGAAGGGUCAUAACACUGAGUCUUGUCUGUGGCCAGUUUCCCAUUAGGUCCUCCCCCAAUCACAUAGAGCUUCUUCUUGUGGCUGGUGGCUGCAAAGGAGCUGACGUGGACAAGGAGGGGCGCAGCCUGCGGAGACAUGGGGCAUGAGAAGAAGCCGUCAGUCAAGCUGCCCAGAUGGCUGCAGUGGCUCACAGAACACAGAGACCAUCAACUUAAGCCUGGGCAUCCUUUGCCUGAAGUCACAAGGCCUGUAGAUUUGAUUCCCCUUGAGACACAGAGCAGAUCAAGGCCUUUCCCUCCCUCCAGACUCUGGGCAGGCCAGAGCAGGCUGAGUGCUGGGAUGUUUCCAGACUGUUUCUUCCAGGGCCCAGCUCUCAGGGGAGGAGAGCUAUGAGCAGGAACCAGUGUUUAUACAGAUGAGGCCAGCUAGUGCUGGAGGAAGUGUGUUUUCACACAUGCAUAUUCAUAUUUAUUCACUCAAAAAAUUCUACUGAGUGCCUACUAUGUGCCAGGCAUUGUCCUUGGUGCUCAUAUCCAAGAAGAAAAGCUGGUGUAAGUGUUUAAGGUGGCCCCAGGCAAGCAGCCUCUUCCACUCGGGGCAACACUGCGAACUUUGUAAUUAAGCCAGGCAUAUAUUUCCACCCCGUGAACCUCUUGCCCAUUAUGUGACCCUCUUGGGUCAUGAAGCAAGUCUGUGGUGGGACUUGACAAUUUGAGAAGAUCUUGGGCAUGUCUGUCAUAAAUGUUAAGGGCCCACUCUAUAGCACUUUUCAGGUUUCCAGGUUGUGGCCUAGAUGCCUUGGUGACCUGGCUACUUUUGCUUGUGCCUACAAUGACCAUGUUUUAUAAUCCCUAAAGCUGGACCAUCCUCUGACAUAUGAUCCAACAAGAAGAAAAUUUGAAAUUGGGAAUAACCUGAAAAUAAUAGGAGGUGAGAGUGCUUUACCUUUUCCUAAGUAUGGUGUGUACCUAUGGUUGUAUUGUUGAAGUCUUGCAUACAAACAUGUAAAUAAAUAAUGGUUGACUUCUAAACACUACCAAGUGGCUCUGGGUCCAGCAAACAGUGUAAUAAAGGGGUCACCAUGUGUCCAGAGUAGAGAAGAAAAGGGCAGAUGGCAUCUGAGGAGGCAGAGACCCUGGGCCAAGACAUGUAGACCAAGGGGUCCACUAGCUAAGCAGCAGUGUGAGCCUCCCUGCUCCAGGUCUGGGGUCUGACCUGAAUGGGACAUGUGCCAACUCAGAGCCCCACUUCCUGGAAAGAAAUCAUUUUCCAUGACCCAGUCAACAGUACUGAAGCAGAGGCUCCUAAGUGGAGGGGAGCUGAGAGCCACCAAAAAUGUUCUCACUGGGAAAGAGAGACCAGAAAGCUGGCUGCCCCCAGGCACACACUUUUUUAAGCUUUGAGUUAAAAAUAGGAAGGCUCUCCUGUACCUCUGACCAGCAGUUGUGGAAGGGGUCGUAGGUCUCCACGUUGUUGAUCCGCUGCAGGCCGUCAAAUCCUCCGAUCACAUAGACCUUCCCGCCCAGCACCACCAUCUUAUGCCUCCAGCGGCCUAUGUUUAGAUACUCAAUUUGAAUCCAUUUGUUGAUCGAGGAAUUGUAUUUCCAAACAUCGUGCUGUGUUUCUUUGCCACCUACAAGAGAUGUAAAGCAUUUGAGAAACCAGCAGAUUUGUUGGAAAUAGCAGCUUUUCCCAUGAUUCCCCACAAGUCCUUAGGUGCUAAGUCCCCAGGCUAUCCCCACACUAAGGGACAGGAGGGUGCAAAGGAAAUCCUGACGGCCUGUGCAGGUGAGUGGGGAGAGAACAGGUUGAGGCAGGGGUGAAUUGGGUGCCUGGCUCCGAGCUUGUAUCACCUGAGUGUGGUGAGAGCUCAGAGAAGAGGCAGAUAAGGGUGAGUUGAGUCCAGAGAAGGCUUCAGGGAGGUGAGCCCCAGGCUAGCCUGGAUGGGAGUGAGAGACCCCAUAUGGAGGCCGGAAAGAGUUGAGGCGGUAAGGUAGGAAGUCAGGCUGGGUAAGUAAGGCGGGGACCGUUUUGUGUGGGUGGGGCCUUGAACAGCAGACAAUUUAGAAGGCAGAUGAAGUUCUAUAUUUGCUCAUUUAUUAACAACAAACAAAAACAUAAAUACAAACCUAGGGAAAUCACCAAGAAAUCUUAGAAAAAGCUCUUGGUUUUUAUCUCUAGCCUACAUGAAAAUGUAGGCGGGGUGGGUGUGUCCUGUUUUUAAAUAGUCUGUUUCUUAUAAAAGUAGGAGAUGCUCACAAUAGAUCAUUUGAGUGUGAGCUAGUAAAUAUUUUCUUCCAGACUACUCUCCAAAUAAAUAGAAAAUACGUAAUACAGCAGUUUGGGAGAGAAACCAAGACAAAGGAGAACUGAAUUUUUCAGUGACUUUAAUCAAAUAUUUUAACAGCUUUGUGCUUUCAUUUUCCCAUCAGUCCAGAGAACCACAACAGCUUCAAACAAAAGAUCGCCUUUUCAGACAUGUAGCCGCUGGUGGUGUAGUAAAUAUCACUGGCAACACUUUCUGUCUUGGAUAGAAUUUCUUCAGCACAAAACCAGAAAUGGGAUUUCUAGGGCAGGAGGCUGGCACAUCUUGAAUUUUCAUAGGUGCUGGCAAAAAGCCCUCCAAAGCCUUGCCAGUUUACCUUUCCCCACACCCCACCAACAGCAAAUAUUAGGACUUUGCAUUGCUUUGUUUUGUUUUUACAUUUAUAGUCUGCUGGAGAAAAAGGAUCUCACAGUUUGUUUUUCUCUGACUACAAGAAAGGCUGAGCUUGCUCCUCUUCUGUAAAUUUCCUAUUCAUAUAUUUUGACCAUAUUUCUUUUGAGUUGGCCACCUUUUAGAGUUCUCUAUUUAUUAAAAAAAAAAAAAACUGCAAUAUUGAUCCCAUUUAGACAGUGUCAAAAUUAUAAAAUAACUAUAACUUUAAAAAGAAAUAUAUACAACCUUUAUUUUUUAAAAAAAUGACAACUCUUUGAGUUUAAUUCAGGAUGUAAAAGAAGACCUGAAUAACUGGUAAGGCAUAGAUGUGCAGAGAUGUGCGUAGAUGGGAAGACAUGCUUUCGCAAAGGUGUCAACCUCCCCCAGGUUAAUCUAUAUAUUCGGUGCCUUUAGGACUUUUUAGGGAACUUGACAAGAUACUUCUGAAUUUCAUUUGGAAGAGGAAUUUUGGAAAAAUUGCUAAGAAAGUUUUCAAAAAAAGAAGGGGGGGCUUUCCCUAUCAAAUAUCAAAAUACACUAAUAUGUUAUGAUACAAACAGUGUGGUAUGAGCAUAAGACUAGAACAACUGAUCAAUUAAAAGCAAGAGUACAGAAAUGGACCAAAAUAUGUAAAGAUCAUUAAAUAGACAGUAGUAGAACAUCAGCUAUUUAUUUGUAGAAAAAAUUAAGUUCAUUUCCUUAUUUCAUGUCACACUUAAAAAUGUAACUCAAACGUAAUGCUAUAAAAGUAACUGGAAAUAAUCUAGGAGACCUCAUUAAUGUUCUUGGGGUGGAAAGGGUCUUCCUAAACAUGACAUGAAAUCCAGAGACAUACAGGAAAGAAAAUGACUAGAUAAAAUAUAAAUUAAAGGUAAAAGACAGCAACAGUCUGGAAGAAAGUAUUUACAAUGCAAAUAGCAAGGGAUAUAUAAUAAGAGCUCCAAAAAUUAAUAAGAAAAAUAUUUAAAAAAAAAAACCUGUAGAAAAGCAAAAGGUAUAAACAGAUUUUUUUUAAAAAAUACACACAGUCAGCUAAUAUAUGAAAAUAUGCUCAACCUCGUUAAUGAUCUGGGAAGUAUAAAUUUAAACAUUCUAGUCUAUUACAAAUGUAAACAACUGAUGAUAAAAAAUGUUAGCAAGGAUGUAGAAAAAUGGACACUGUCAUUCAUCAUUGGAUGAACUGUAAGUUGGUAAAACCUUUCUGGAGGACAAUUUAGCAACAUCUACCAAAUUUCUAAAUGAACAUGUCUCAUGAAGACUUCCAGGAAUCUCUCCAAAUACUAGCACAAGUACAUAAAGAUAUAUACACACACACACACACAUAUAUAUACACACAGACAUACAUAUACAAGAAUGCCUGUUGUGGUAUUUUUUUUUUUCAGUGGGGGAAAAAAAGUUGAAAACAACUGAGAGAAUGAAUUAAAAAAAUUGUGAUUCAUCCAUUCAAUCAACUGCCCUGCAACUGUUAAAAAGAAUAGCAACAGUGAUAAUGAUGGCUGACGUUAUUGAGCUUUUCCUAUGUGCUUGGCAUUGUGCUAAGUGCUUUACAUGUUUUAUGUCACUUAGCACAAUAUGAGAGAUCCAUUUAUACCAACAUGUAAUGAUGUCCAGAAUAGAUUGGUAACUGAAGUACAAGUUUGGUUGAUUGAAUUAUUUACAAGAUGCUUUUGUACAUUGCUUGCAUAUUGUAAGAGGGGAGGACAACUUAUAGAGUAUCAUGUAUAAUGUAUAUGGCAAAGACUGAUUAUGAUUUACCAAAUCUGUCUUUUUCUCUUGGGCAUAUAGUAAACUGCCUUACUGAAUUUCACAGCCCACCUACAUCUGGGGCUGGGGGUGUGUGGAUGGGUGUGUGGCUGGUUCUUGACUUUGGAAUGUGAGCAGAAGGGACACAUCACUUCCAGGCUGAUGUUAUGAGUAGGUGGGACUUCUCAGCUCACUCACUCUCCCUCCUUUCUCCAAAGGCAUCAACCUUGAAGGCCACAUGUAGAAAAUGACAGCCUCAUAAGAAGAAAGGAGCCUAGGUCCCUGAAAGACUAGUGUGUUGAUUCAUGGAGAUUUAGGGUUUGUUACAGCAGCUCACGUUCCUUAUUCUAAGUCAAUAUGAAACAAUUUUUUGUAGAAGAUUGAAACAUAUAGAAUUGUAAUGGCACAGAGAGACUGCCAUAUUUUGCUUUAUGUUCUCUGCAUUGUAUAAUCUUCUACAACAAUUAAACAUUGUUUCUACAAGAUAAAAGAAAGCUGUGACCUACUGAAUGGUAUUAAUGUAUCCAAAGAAGAACUGAACUGCCCUUGACUUCGCAGAAAGCCAGCUCUGGGAAGAAGCUCUUCCCAAAACCAGUUCAGAUCAGAGAAACCCUCCAAGAGAUGAGAAAAGAGGCUUGUCCUCUCCCUCGGAGUCCCGAGAAGAGUCAGCUGGCUUUUGAUGUGAUAGAAAGAGCAUAGCAACAGAGAACCUGGGUUGUAAUCCUGCCCGAUACCUUAUGUCGCCUUAGGUGUGUUCAACACCUCUCUACGCCUCAGUUUUCUCCAUCUGUAACCUGGAGACUAAAAGCAGCUGCAUUAUAAAGUUGAUAUGGGGAGUGAAUGAUGAAAUUCUAUUAAGGAGUAAAUUUAUCUGCUAAGCUGUAAGGAUGAUGGAGACCACAUCAAUCAAUGAAUAUUUAUUGAGCAUUUACUAUAUGGCCAGACACAGUGCUAAGUCCUGGGGAAAUAGGGCUGACUUUCAUGGAACUUAAGGUCAAAUGGGAAAGGCAGACAUAAAGUAAUUGCAUGUAAUUUAGAAGUGAGCAAUGAACAAGUACUGGGUGCUACUGGAGUGUAUAAAAGUAUGACCAAAUAAACUUGUGGAGGGGGGCAGCGAUCAGGUUUGGGAGGAAGAUCAAACAUUUUUAUUCAUUAAUGUAUUCAUAGUGCAUUAUGCCCAUAGCAGACACUGAAUAAACUCUAUGAUAGCUUUUCUUCUCCCCUUUUCCAUGAAGGACUUGACCUGUUUGCCUGUUCUCUCAGAUCCUGGUACAAUGCUGCUCACAGCUCAGCAUUUACUAAAUCAUAAUGUGCUUUCCAUAUUCUGGUCACUGUCAAGACCACCUGAGCUCCUGGUUUCUAUACUCCGACCCAUUCAGGGCUAGAUCGUCGCCCACUCACAGUAAUUCUUCUAGGAUGAUUGUCUGGCUCUGUCUCAGGACAAUACGUAGUGCCAUUAUGGGGGCCUUACUUUGGCAUCACGUGGCUCCUGCUUACCUGAGAUGUAGACCUCAUUUUUUAAUGUCACGCAUGCAAACUCCACCCACUUCUUAUUCUCACUCUCCAGCUCAUGCUCAGUCAGUGGGAGCUUGGCCACCUCCAGGCGGCUGCGCCUCAGGGGAUCCAGGCAGGUUACCUCCGCCACAAACCGUUCAUCCUUCGUGCAGCCGCCAAUGAUCAUGAACACCUCAGACUGGAACUCAUGCAUCCUGGGCUUGGUGCGCUCCGAAAUGAUCUGGAAACCAAUGGGAGUAGAUAAAGGCAGGAUAGCACAAUAACUCGGGGCCCAGGCUAUGGAGCCAGAGAGAGGAGUCCCCAGUUCCCAACUCUGCCACUGUAUGGCCAUGUGAUUUGACCUCCUUGAGUGUCAGUUUUAUCAUCUGUAUAAUAGAGAUUUUAGUGUUAACUGACUCAGAAGUUUGUUGUAAGAACUAAAUGAGAUAAUAGAUGCUCAAUAAAUGUUACCUGCUGUUGUUUUUAUGGCUAUUUUAAGAGGUCCAGUUCUCUCUACCAUCAAAUGCACCUUCUGCUGCUCCCUUCCUGCCUAGUCUGAAGCCUUGCAUCCUGGAACUUCACUUCUUUUGCCACCUCUCACUCCCCCUGGUUUCAAUUUUUUUCUGUUAUCCCAGACUUUGCUUCCUACAAGCCUCCUUCCUGAAGAAAAGUCCUAGAAGGUAGGCAUAUGAGCAUUCAGAGACUUAGGAGGAAAGAAUCAGAAGGGAGCAAGUGUGGCCAAGGAAGUUAGGGGCUAGUUCCAGGACCUUGGAGAA